AACGAACGCUGGCGGCAGGCCUAACACAUGCAAGUCGAACGCCCCGCAAGGGGAGUGGCGCACGGGUGAGUAACGCGUGGGAAUAUGCCCUUCGGUUCGGAAUAACACAGGGAAACUUGUGCUAAUACCGGAUACGAUCUACGGAUGAAAGAUUUAUCGUCGAGGGAGUAGCCCGCGUAGGAUUAGCUAGAUGGUGAGGUAAUGGCUCACCAAGGCGACGAUCCUUAGCUGGUCUGAGAGGAUGAUCAGCCACACUGGGACUGAGACCCGGCCCAGACUCCUACGGGAGGAAGCAGUGGGGAAUAUUGGACAAUGGGCGAAAGCCUGAUCCAGCCAUGCCGCGUGAGUGAUGAAGGCCUUAGGGUUGUAAAGCUCUUUCGCCAGGGAAGAUAAUGACGGUACCUGGAAAAGAAGCCUCGGCUAUCUCCGUGCCAGCCGCCGCCGUAA
rnacentral:rRNA from 1 species